rnacentral:misc_RNA from 1 species
AAAUAUGUCCCUUCUAUAAGACUUUCCACUGAUCGUUAGAAGCGUAACAAUUAAAAGAUACAAUAGAGGCGAUGCAUCAAAGUACAGUUUAGUACUGUCGAAUGGUUUGCAGUGACACGAAUUAGCAUCAUCAGCGAUUGUGCUGUAACUCACGCGGCGCCAGCAUUCCAGCCAACUAUUUGGACAACUAUAGAAGGAGGCAACUUGCUUCUCCGAUUUCGGUUUACCAACGAUCUAAUAGUUCCUACUGGGUUCCUUCUCUACCAUUUUCUGCUGCAUUUGUGCAAAUACAUAUGUAUUAAACCAUAUCGAAUCUACAACAACAUUUUUAAAAUAAAUCCGGACAUUUUCGAGAAAUCAAUUUCAAAAUAGCAGCGAAUUUGUAUC